rnacentral:rRNA from 1 species
CCCUUAGAUGUUCUGGGCCGCACGCGCGCUACACUGAUGCAUUCAACGAGUCUAAAACCUGCUCUGAUAGGGGUGGGUAAUCUUUUGAAUGUGCAUCGUGAUUGGGAUAGAUGAUUGCAAUUUUUCAUCUUCAACGAGGAAUGCCUAGUAAACGCAAGUCAUCAGCUUGCAUUGAUUACGUCCCUGCCCUUUGUACACACCGCCCGUCGCUCCUACCGAUUAAAUGAUCCGAUGAAUAUCAUGGAUUGAGGAUGCAAGCAGGUUCGCCUGUCUUCAUCUUCGAGAAGUGAAGUAAAUCUUAUCAUUUAGAGGAAGGAGAAGUCGUAACA